rnacentral:tRNA from 1 species
GUCCCCGUAGUUUAUUAAAACUUUAGUCUUGUAAACUAAGAUCGGCCCUCCCGGGGAUU